AGCCGAGCCAGCUAGAUUAUGAAUCAUAGGCUAUCUGGUGGGGAGUUCGUCCCUGCACCCUUUGUUACUUGCGUGAUAUGUUUAUACAUUGUGGAAAUGGCGACUUGGCGAAAGAUGGAAUCAAUUUCCAAGUUUUGCCGUUGUUUCUUAUUUAUUUUAAACAAGCGUCUGUGGUUUCUGGUAUAUCAUAUGAUAUGUUUAUUUGAUAGAACCUAUCUUUGUUGAGUGGCUGCUUUAGUAGCUGUAUGUCAACAAACUAAUAUGUAGCUGUUUGUGGGGUUUAGACGGCACCUUUCCGCCUUCCGAGUGUUGUAUAUGACCCUUGUCAUUUUACUUUGGAGCAGUAUAAAAGGAGCAUGCUUUUAUGGCCUUUCCUUGUUGCUAAUUUACUGGCUUGUUCUGUAUUGCCUUGCCAUCUUAUUUUUGAUCUUCUGGUAUCUUUUCUAGUUGGUAAGAGAUGUUUUUACUUAGGGGUGUGCUAUCCACACUCAUUUUUACUUCUCACACAUCUCUUGUUAAUUUCUGUCCAAUGAUCUUCUUCAAUUCAUCCGAUCUGACGGUCGAAAACCAAGAAAACCAAGAAAACCAAAAAAGUGUGGGAGAAGUGAAAAGGGGUGUGUGGAUAUCACACCUUUUUUACUUAUUUACUUAUGGUUGCGGCUACACUUGGGCCCGCACGCUCCCUCGAGUAAAAUGUUGACUGCUUCGACGAAUCAUUUGGGUGUGGUUAUAAGAUGAUGCUCUCCCCGUUUUCCAUUGUUGAGUUGUGAUUAUGUGCUUAUUUUCGGUUUUCAUGUACAUGCCUAUCUGUUCGAGGGAAAUAACUUCCCUGCUGUAGGUGUAAAAUACAACUUUGGUCGAUGUUGGCCUAGACCUAGUGGCACAUGUGGCAGCCGUAUUGGGUGGUUGGUCUGACACAUGUCACCACAUACAAGAUAUUUAACGAAGUUGAAAGAAACAAGGAAAUAAAGUGAUGGCUUUUAAGUUGUAAGAGCAAAGAAAUCGUCCCAUCUAUUGUGUCUUGUACGUCCUAUUUUGUGGGACGGGAAUAUACAUGACGUGCUGGAGUCAAUUCCAAUCUUAACUAGUUCUAGGGACACCAACACGAACGAUUUUGACCCACCUUCAGUGAGACAGCUAUUCUCACAGCCCAACGCCAUCAAAUGCACUUAUUGAUCGUGCAAAGCACUUCCGUGUGAAUAGCCAAACGAAAGAAUGCUUCUUUGUCAAAACACUAUUGAUAAGUACCUCCUAAAAAAUGCCAAGGAAUAAAAGUGCUUUUUGAAAAGCAAUCUGAAAUAAGCUCUCGGUCUAUAUUUGAAGCAAGGAAAGAGGAAUGAACAGUUGGCAGGAUUUGAGGCAAAGACAGAGAGAGGAAUGAACAGUUGGUUAACUGUUAACUCAACUGCACGUAUUAACUCACCAUACGGCGUCGUUUCACUGAAGGAAAGAUAAACCCAUAACCAGAAAACAAACCGCAACUUAUCCGUCCAUCUCUUUCUCUACUUCAGCAGCUCAAACAAAUUUUCAGCUCAAUUUAAAAGCUGCUUUUAGCCUUUCUUCUCCGCCAUGGCCUGAAAGCACCCCAUCCGUUUGUUGAAUUGCUUCAAUGGCGUUCUCCUUCUCUCUCACAUGCUAUCCAUGGUCUCCCACCCACACCAUACCCCAAACCCUGCCACCGCCGCCCUCCUCCGCUCAAAAACUCUUCACUUCUCUCUCCUUCCCGCUCUCUCACCGCCACGACCGGCUCCUCAUCCAUUCUUCCCUCUCCUAUUCAACCCCUACCUCCACCCACCACCACCACCACCUUCCUCCGGACUUCACUCCGCAGCAGCUCCUCGAUACCCUCCGCCGCCAGAACGACGAGUCCUCGGCGCUCCGCCUCUUCGACUGGGCCUCCAAGCAGCCCAAUUUCACCCCCGACUCCACUGUGUACGAGGAGGUCCUCCGCAAGCUCGGAAAGGUGGGGUCUUUCGAGUCGAUGAGGAGCAUCCUUAACGAGAUGAAGCACGUCGGCUGCCCUAUUAGCUCAGGUACUUUCUUGAUUUUUGUUCAGAGCUACGCAGCCUUUGAUUUGUAUGAUGAAAUUCUUGGGGUUGUGGAAAUGAUGGAAGGCGAAUUCGGGUGCAAACCCAACACUCAUUUCUACAAUUUCUUGUUGAAUGUUGUUGUUGAGGGGAACAAACUUAAGCUAGUCGAAACUGCGAAUUCGGGCAUGCUUGGUAGAGGAAUUAAGCCGGAUGUUUCCACAUUUAACAUUUUGAUAAAGGCAUUGUGUAGAGCUCAUCAGAUUAGGCCUGCCCUUUUGUUGAUGGAGGAGAUGUCGAACCAUGGUUUGAAGCCGGAUGAGAAAACGUUCACGACAGUAAUGCAGGGGUACAUUGAGGAAGGUGACAUGAAAGGGGCAUUGAGAAUGAGGGACCAGAUGGUAGAACAUGGGUGCCCGUGUACAAAUGUGACUCUUAAUGUUUUGGUUAAUGGGUUUUGCAAAGAGGGUCGUGUCGAUGAAGCGUUCAGUUUUAUAGAAAAGAUGGUGGAUGAGGGGUUCUCUCCGGAUCAGUUUACGUUUAAUACGUUGGUGAAGGGUUUGUGCAGGGUGGGGCAUGUUACGCAUGCUUUGGAGAUCAUGGACAUGAUGCUUCAAGAGGGAUUUGAACUGGAUAUUUACACGUAUAACUCCUUGAUUUCCGGAUUGUGUAAGUUGGGUGAAAUUGAAGAGGCGGUGGAACUUCUCGAUCAAAUGGUUUCGAGGGACUGUUCUCCAAAUACUGUCACAUAUAAUACUCUGAUUAGCACAUUGUGUAAGGAGAACCGGGUUGAAGAGGCAACUAAACUUGCUCGUGUUCUUACUAGCAAGGGAAUUUUGCCUGAUGUUUGUACUGUCAAUUCUCUGAUUCAAGGUCUCUGCUUGAACAGUAAUCAUAAAGCUGCUUUGGAACUAUUUGAGGAGAUGAAGGCAUCAGGAUGCCAGCCUGAUGGGUUUACUUACAGUAUGUUGAUUGAUAGCCACUGUUCGAGAGGGAGGCUAAAGGAGGCAAUGAGCAUGCUGAAAGAAAUGGAGUUGAGAGGCUGUGCACGUAAUGUGGUUAUAUACAAUACUCUCAUUGAUGGGUUGUGCAAAAACAAAAGAAUUGAAGACGCAGAAGAGAUUUUUGAUCAGAUGGAACUGCAAGGGAUUUCAAGAAAUUCAGUGACCUACAACACCCUUAUUGAUGGCCUUUGUCAGAGUAAACGGGUGGAGGAAGCUUCCCAGCUUAUGGACCAGAUGAUAAUGGAAGGCUUGAAGCCCGACAAGUUCACCUAUAAUUCCAUGCUCACGUAUUUCUGUAGAUCUGGGGAUAUAAAGAAGGCAGCAGAUAUUGUUCAGACAAUGAGUUCAAAUGGGUGUGAACCAGACAUAGUCACAUACGGGACACUGAUUGGGGGGUUAUGUAGGGCAGGUAGGGUUCAGGUUGCAAGCAGACUCCUCAGAAGUCUGCAGAUGAAAGGGUUGAUCCCAUCUCCCCAGGCUUAUAACCCUGUACUACAAUCUCUAUUUAAACGGAAGAGAACAACAGAAGCCAUGAGGCUUUUCCGAGAGAUGAUGGAGAAAGGUGAUCCUCCUGAUUCUAUAACAUAUAAGAUUGUCCUUCGAGGGCUUUGUAAUGGUGGAGGACCAAUUGGAGAAGCAGUUGACUUUGCGGUUGAGAUGAUGGAGAAAGGUUAUUUGCCAGAAUUCUCAUCAUUUUCUAUGCUGGCUGAAGGACUCCAAGCUUUAUCCAUGGAGGAUACCUUAAUUAAUCUUGUUGAUAUGGUCAUGGAGAAAGCGAAGCUUUCAGACAGUGAAGUUUCCAUGAUAAGCGGUUUCCUCAAAAUCCGCAAAUAUCAGGAUGCAUUGGCCAACCUUGGUGGUAUCUUGAAUAGAGAAAAGCCCAGAAAAUCUUAUUGGCAAAGAUGAUUUAUUCGGAACCAGUUUCAACUUUCAAGUAUCAGCUUCUAGUCCAACAGAAGAUGCAACAUAGACGUAGUAAACAUGAUGAAGGAAUUUUGGAGGAUGAUAUGCGUAGAGCUAGGAAGCAUGGAAUCAAUACGUUAUAGCACUGUUCCCCAUCUACAAAAGGAGAGUUCAGGUACUUCCAUAGAUAUGGUAAUAUUAUACCACCGAAAAUGAAUCCAUCCCUUCUUUUGAUACCCUAUCUUCUAAGCUGAUGUAGCAGAUAAUGUAAACGUAUUGCAAACUUUUUUCAAAUGUAUUAGCCGUUCUCCCUGAUGGUGCUUGUGUAUUAUUCUAGAGUAUACUAAAAAUAGCUGGCGUAUGGACUAAGUUUUUGGAAACAAUAGUACAUGUUUAUCAUGAUAUUAAUUCAAAUGCAUACGACUGCAACUUCUCACUUUAUGUUGAUACAAGUUGGACUUUACGUGUAUAGAGAAAGAUCAAACAUUAAGAAUAGAGCUAUAGGUUUUUCUGUAGUCUCACAUAUUCACGUCAUGCAUUCAUUUUUGUGUAAAAUGUGACCCCCGCUGUGUGCAACGGGUUUAGGUUCUUCGAAUGUAGCACAUGUUUGAUGGGAGUAUUGCGUUGUCACUCGUGCUGUGCCACGCAGAAUCUGGCACAACAUAUUUCAAAGUGAACCUUACUGGAAAUUCAAGUCUGUCUUGAACUUACGAGUAUAUAAGAAGAAAAUUUCUUCAUUUUAGGAUCAGAUCCUCCUCUUCUUAGUCUCAGGUGACCCACGAUGGAACGUAUUUCAACUCUCUCUCUCGCUCUCUCCAUCUCUCCAUUGGAACUUAUUUCGUGCUCUCGUAAUUGUGAAGAAUAUGCUUAGGUGUAUUCUUUAACUAUGUUAUUUCUCUUUGAUCUGGUACUUAUGCACCUCAUUCAGUUGCACAAAAUAUUUAGCAUUUAGAUUUGCCUUAUCUGGUGGACACUUUGAUGAUCCAUUAUCUUGUCUGGUCAGGACAGUAUUCAUUUUGCAGUGCAAAUGGCUUUUUUUUUUUUUUUUUUUUAAUCAGGGACGUACCAGUCGAACACAAAGACGAGUGAUUAACAUUACUCUUGAACUAAACCCUUAGUUUUUCUACAAAUGUUUGGAAAUGCUAUCUUAAAAAACAUUUCUACUUAGAAGCACAUCAAGAUUUUUAAUUAAAAUGCAAGUGCUUUUUGGAAUCUUUAGGCCUCGUUUGGCAGACUUUUCUAGACACCGGAUAGUACUAUCUAGUAUGAAUCCAGUGUUUAGUGCCGUUUGUAUUAAAUAAGAACCGGAUAAAUUAACCUGAACCCACUUAUUUUAUACGGCUCACACCCACUAACUUAUACACCCCAAAACCUAUGUAUAAUUAGUCUGGUCGCCAACAAAAACACGCUCGCUACUUUCCCGAUCCAUCUCUCGCAAAUCCUCUUCCAGCUGCAUGCGUUUGCCAUUGUCUACCUCAAGAAUUUCUCCUUUUCUAUCUCUCUCCCCCUCCCUUUCCCUCUUCCUCCUCCUGAUUCCUUGCAUUUGCCUCUAAAACUCAAUUGCUUCAGCAAUAUCUAAUUGGGUCUUGUUCCUGUAUUUUUUGCUGCAAUUUCUUGUAUAUACUUUGGUCGAAUUGGGUCUUUCUAUUGAUAACUGUAUAUGUUCUUAAUGCUUCAAUUUCUCUCCAAAUAGGAAUCAAAACUGUAUAAAAACAAGUAACUUAAAAUCAUUAAAACAGUCACUUAGUACUACGGUUUAGUGGUAUUCUUCUUCACUUGUAAGUGAGAGGUUCGAUUCUCGCCAAGGGCGAAUUUGAACCACAUUAUUGCUAGCCCACCCCUUCCCUUAGUGUAGAUAAUAUCGUUUGUCAUCUUAAUGACAUACGAAGGUUUAUCAUUUUGUCUUUAAGUUACAAUGCACUGUCAGUUUAGUUGGUCUUCAUCUUCACGUGUGUAAGUGUGAGGUUUUGAGUUUGACUUAUGUAGUUGGCGAGUUUGAUAACAAAUUAUUAUGGCUAACUUAUUGUGUAACUUAGCUUGAAUCCGCACCCCUUAGUAUAGAUAUUUUUUUGUAUUAUUAUUAUUCUUUUUACAAUAUACAGUUGUCAGCGGGUAUUACAAGCAAUUCAAUUAAAUUUAGUCAUUAUUAUUAAAAGGAAAGUGAUUUCCGCACAUUUUUUUCUCUUGCAUGGUGUACACUCUUGUUUAUUUAUGGUCUUAUAUGAAUAAAUUAUAGGAGAUGUUGGAAAAUAUUAGUAUUUAGGUUUAUUUUAGUAUUUGGGUUUUGCUUGUUAGUUUAGGAUUUGGGGCGAGCCCAUCCGAAUUAGGGUUUCUUAGGUUUAGUUCUCUAUAAAUAUUUCUUGUAAUUUAGUUUGAGAAACAAGUCAGUUACGAUGUAGCCUCUUAGGGUUUUAUAGAUGUUCUGGCAUUCUCGUUUGUUUAAUAAUAUUCCUAUUAUUUUGUAAUCUUGUACGUUGCGCACUCUAAUAUUCAACUUGGUAUCAGAGCGGGUUCGAUCCUUUGGGUCCAAUUUGCUCUUGUAUGGUAUCAGUUUAUUUUGUCGGUUUAGUUUUGGUCUCGAUUAGGCUUUUGCUUCCGCUUCGGUCUGUGUCAUUUGUUCUUCUUGGUCACUCUGUUUAUGUUCCGUUUUUUGUCUUUGGAUAUUCGGUAUUGACAGUCGUAGUAGUCUAAAAAGAAAAAAGGGUUGUCAUUGUUCAUCUUUCCCUGUACUUUAGCGUCUGACCUGCAUUCCUAAAAAUCUCACACCAGUGCGUUUUUUGAAUUCUGCACUUGUUUACUAGAGUUCUACAAUUGUUAGCAUAGAAGAAAAAAAAAAUAAAAAGAAAAGAAAAAGAAAUAAAAGAGGAGAAGAAAAAAAAAACAAAAAGGAGGGAAAAGGGAAAAAAAAGGAAGGAAAAAAUAUGGUUGUUUUGUGGCCCGUGUAUUCUUGCAUUGGGUAUGGUAGCUUGAACUUGGAAUGGAAAUCUGGCAUCGACAUCGGCAUUGGUAUUGGCAUUAGCAUCGGCAUCGGCAUCGAUACUGGAAUUUGGAGUUUUGCAUCCACAUCUACUUUGGCAAACCCAUGUCGUGUACCGCCAUGAGUUUGACGGGGGCUGUUGGAAAAUAUUAGUAUUUAGGUUUAUUUUAGUAUUUGGGUUUUGCUUGUUAGUGUAGGAUUUGGGCCGAGCCCAUACGAAUUAGGGUUUCUUAGGUUUAGUUCUCUAUAAAUAUUUCUUGUAAUUUAGUUUGAGAAACAAGUCAGUUACGAUGUAACCUCUUAGGGUUUUGUAGCUGUUCCAACAUUCUUGUUUGUUUAAUAAUAUUCCAAUUAUUUUGUAAUCUUGUUCGUUGCGCACUCUGAUAUUCAACUUGGUAUCAGAGCGGGUUCGAUCCUUUGGGUCCAAUAUGCUCUUGUAUGGUAUUAGUUUAUUUUGUCGGUUUAGUUUUGGUCUCGAUUAGGCUUUCGCUUCCACUUUGAUCUGUGUCCUUUGUUCUUCUUGGUCACUCUGUUUAUGUUCCGUUUUUUAUCUUUGGAUAUUCGGUAUUGACAGUCGUAGUAGUCUGAAAAGAAAAAAGGGUUGUCAUUGUUCAUCUUUCCCUGUACUUUAGCGUCUGACCUGCAUUCCUAAAAAUCUCACACCAGCGCGUUUUUUGAGUUCUGCACUUGUUUACUAGAGUUCUGCAAUUGUUAGCAUAGAAGAAAAAAAAAAGAAAAAGAAAAGAAAAAGAAAUAAAAGAGGAGAAGAAAAAAAAACAAAAAGGAGGGAAAAGGGUAAAAAAGGAAGGAAAAAAUAUGGUUGUUUUGUGGCCCGUGUAUUCUUGCAUUGGGUAUGGUAGCUUGAACUUGGAAUGGAAAUCUGGCAUCAGCAUCAACAUCGAUAUUGGUAUUGGUAUUGACAUCGGCAUCGGCACUGGAAUUUGGAGUUUUGCAUCCACAUCUACUUUGGCAAACCUAUGUCGUGUACCGCCAUGAGUUUGACGGGGGGUGUUGGAAAAUAUUAGUAUUUAGGUUUAUUUUAGUAUUUGGGUUUUGCUUGUUAGUUUAGGAUUUGAGUCGAGUCCAUCCGAAUUAGGGUUUCUUAGGUUUAAUUCUCUAUAAAUAUUUCUUGUAAUUUAGUUUGAGAAACAAGUCAGUUACGAUGUAGCCUCUUAGGGUUUUGUAGUUGUUCCGGCAUUCUCGUUUGUUUAAUAAUAUCCUAUUAUUAUGUAAUCUUAUUCGUUAUGCACUCUGAUAUUCAACUGGAGAAUCAAUAGACAAAAAUAAACAGAAUUGUGCAGAAUGAAAAAAAGGUGUAUGAGAAUCAUAUCUUAACUAAAAUAUGAGGGGUAAGCAGUAAACCCAAUACGAAGGAAUGACCUAUACUUGGAGGCCAUCGGGGCAGUAUCUCAAACAAAAAAUGCAAUAUCAUUGCUUCAUUUUGCCAACUAAUAGUUCGUUAUUAGUUUGGAAUACCGUCAUAGUAGUCCUCACCUCAACUUUAUGCAGAUCAUCCUUAACAAGAUGUGGGAUCCCCACAAAGUGGAUCCGGAUGGGAUCCAAUUCCCCUUAGAAAGAUGAUCAUGGAUCCAUUUUGUGGGGAUCCUACACAUCUUAACUAUUCAUUGUAUUGUGUGGUCAAUUUUCAUGAGAUACUAUUUGUGUUUAAUUUUAAAUAAAAAAAGUCAAAUGAUUUAUGACCACACGAUACACGAUGAAUGACUAAGAUGUGGGGAUCUUCCGGAUGGGAUCCAAUUCCCCUUAACAAUCCAUGAUUCCCAAGUAAGCCAGUGUGGCGUUUGACUAAAACACCAACCAUAGAAUGGUAAUUUAGCUUUAAUUGUCUAUCUGCCUAUGCCAUAGGUUUUUGUUCAUAGUCUACUUAUAACAUAGAUUAAUUGUAUUAUAUUGUUUUAUAAUAUAACUUUAUCACAAAAGUUAAUGAAUUUAAUUUUUUUAUCUAAAUAGACAAGUUGAUACAAAAAUAUGUAAUUAGAUAAUUGGGCCCAAUCCUAAAAACAACCUAUACUUUUGGACCUAGAUCUAAAAUCCCCCCCAAAAAAAAGGCUUAUUUUAGCUAUGCCUUCUCGAAUUCGAUUUUAAUCUCACUUUGCUCUAUGUAACUCAAAAGUCGUUACUUUACUCCCUGAAACUCAAAGUUUGCUCAACUUUGCCCCAUGAAACUCGAUUUUGAUCUCAUUUUGCCCCAUGAACCUUGAAAGUCGUUUCUAUAAAACUCAAAUUCACUCCACAUUGCCUUAAAUCUGUUAAUUUCUUAUGUGGGUUUGAUUUGGGAGCUUUCCUUUAUUUAUUUAUUUUUUAUCUUUUUCAUCUCUUCAAUUUCUUUUAAACUUAAUAUUCUUUGAUUGUUAAAUGUAAACACAUAAUGAAGAUUUAUAAUCAAAUUUAUUGCACACGUAGUAUAGUCUUAUCAGGUGUUAGGUCCUACAUAUGUUUCCAGAGGCGACCUAUAAGUUUGAUGGAGAAGAGAGUCUACAAGUCAAAGUGGUACAAAUUUUUAUUUUCAGGGAGAAAAAUGGUAACUUUUGAGUUAGAGAGGCCAAAAUAAGUCCAAAAUAAGUCCAAAAAAAAAAAAAAAAUCAAGGAACUUAUUCUUUACUUGUAGGGACAUUGCACAUUGACAUCUCAGUAAACGUAAAAAGAUCUUUGUUUCUACCAAAGCCAUGAAAAUUGUCUAUUACCAUUUCACUAGCAUCUGCAUGCUAAAAGCAAACACAUAUACACCGGCAAAUUUGUUUUAAGUCGAAUCUAGCUUUGCUAUGCUAGCACAUGACUAUAUGAUACCAUCUGAUCUCAUUCAGUUUUACAUGUGAACUUGGAGACUCGCAACACUCCGAGAUCAAUGGUUCUGGCCAGCAGGACGAGCUGGACCUGUGCCGUGUGGUGCCUAAGGCUGCGCGCAGCAUUUCAAACCAUCUUAGCCUGCACCAUAGUCUACACCACCACCCUUUACGGUCCACAGCCUCUCAGGAGUUUAGUAGCUUACCCUGGAUACUCUUACCUCACCACAAUCCUCAUCCUCUCAGACGCGACGCUUGGGGAGGCGCUGAGAGGCUUCUGGCACACGCUUUACGGUUGUAUUCAGGUCCUGAUCCUUACACUCCUGAGCCUCCGGAUGAUAGGACCCGCACACUUCAGUUAUUUCGUAUCCGCCCUUGCAGUGGCACUGUGCACUUUUGUUGUGGCACUGCCGGGAGCAACUCACUUGAUGUCUAAGCGGAUUGCGUUUGGUCAGAUUGUGAUUGUGUAUGUAGGCACUGCCAUUCAUUGUGCAGAAGCUGAUGAGUUGGUACUUAUGCGCCCGAUUCAGGUGUGUUUGAGUACUGUGCUUGGAGCUUCAGCAUCUGUUGGGGCUAUGUUGUUUCCCAACUUGUUCUUCUACCGAAAGCCAUCUCUGGCAGCUGUGUUGUCUCCUUACCUUGCCUACCACGAGGUAUAUAUACAUCUACACACACACACACAUACAUACAAUUAUAACAUGUGUUGUUUGUCUUCCAUAUGUUUGCAUAUCAUUUUGUUUGGGAUCCUAAAAUUCUUGUAUACGAUGAGUGCAAAGUUUUCAUGAUUUUCACAAUGCAAACUUCAUGAUGAUUCAUAGACGUUGGUUAGGCCAGUGUGUCAACCUUCUUGCAUGGAAGUUUGAAACCCGUUGGUUGUAGAUUGGAGUAGUUCACAAUAUCGUAUUCUUAAAAACUUCACGAUGAUUCAAAUCAUGUGGUCCCUUCUUUCGUUUUUUCUUUUCUUGUUUUGUUUUUAAAAGGCAUUCUUGAGGUUAUAAAAUGGUAAAGGUACAAAAUUUAACAGAAAUUUUGAAUAAACUGAACUAAAAAUUAGGAACAAAAAUGGAAAAAUAAUAUUAUAGAGGAUCGAGUUUUAAUUAAAAAAAAAAAAAGUGAAAAUACACCCAAAAAAAGAA
rnacentral:lncRNA from 1 species